rnacentral:misc_RNA from 1 species
UUGAUUAAUUCAAAAAUUGACUCAGACGCACAGAUGCAGAGUUGAGUGGUCCACCGAGGGCCCCGGCACCCGUGAGGGCCGCCGGGUCGCCCCCGAGGCAACAGAGUCGGAAAACAUGGGGUUGGAGGUCGGGCCACGAGGACCCUCACUCAGUAAUGAUCCCUCCGCAGGUUCACCUACGGAGA